CGGGAUGUAGAGCAGUCUGGUAGCUUACUAGCAUGGGGUGCUAGGGGUCGCUGGUUCGAAUCCAGUCAUCCCGACUA
rnacentral:tRNA from 1 species